GCGCAGGAAGACGGCCUUCUGGGUUGUAAACUGCUUUUAUCAGGGAACAAAUAGGCCAUGCGUGGCAAGUUGAGUGUACCUGAAGAAUAAGCACCGGCUAACUCCGUGCCAGCAGCCGCGGUAAUACGGAGGGUGCAAGCGUUGUCCGGAUUUAUUGGGUUUAAAGGGUGCGUAGGUGGUUUAUUAAGUCAGUGGUGAAAGGCUACAGCU
rnacentral:rRNA from 1 species